rnacentral:lncRNA from 1 species
UUGAUUUAUUCAUUUGUUUAGAAGUAAGAGGUUCAGCUUGCUGGAUGUCCUUGCAGGAGUAGUCGAGCACAGGAUCUUCCUACGAUUUGGAGGUAUGGAGUUCAUGAUACAGUGACCUAUUUUCUUUUCGUACUGAACAUCGAAUUUUCUCCUUUCUAUUUGUGAACUUUUUGGAUAUGCUCUUUACUCCAGAUUUCAACUUUUCAGGUUUGUUGUUCUUCCAAGAUUUCAGGGAGUAGGCAUGUUGCUGCCAUUUUACUGGGCGGAUACGUGCACUGCUGAGACCUUAGUCUAUCCAUUGUAGGUCAUGCCUUUUGAUCAAUUGUUCGCAGUCGUUGAGAUAUUUUUCUUCAUGCCCGUUUUAUUGAUCAAAUUACUGAUUUUAUUUAGGUCGGAGUAUUUUAUGAAUUUACUCUUCUCCAUAGCGCGUCCAUGAGGGCAGAAAUUCCAUGCUCCAAAUCUGCUUGGCGAGCAGUAGGUUAUCUGGUGAUUGCUUUUGUCAACUGACCGGUUAUGAGAUUUAUGUGCACCAUGUGUUUUGUCGAUUCACCUUAUGCAGGUAGUAGUCGCUUACUACAGUACAUGCUUCGUGAUGGAAGAGAAAGUAAUUUGUAUGUAUGUGCGUAUUAUUUUAUUCCUGCGUAAAAGGUUUAGCUGUGAACAACAAUUUUUUCAUGGUGGAUACCUUAAAGUGGACGGCAAUGCAUUUACUUCAAUUCAGUUUAGAGAACAAUGUUAGGUGUCAUACUUCUGUUUUUUUUUCAUUUGCAUACAAGAUUACUAAUUAUAG